GGGCAGCAGUCACGCCAGCGGCCGGCCUGUCUCGGGGCCUAAUCUCUGCUUUCUGGCCCCACAGAAGUGCCCCGGAGAAGCCACAGAGCCACCCCCUGGAGACGCACUCCUGGACUUGGCCAGCUCCACGGUCGGUCACUGAGCUGACUGCUCUCCCUUUCCCUGGGAACAAGCCCAGCAUUUUACACACCCAGCUUCUCUCUGAGGGUCUCCAGUAUGCCCUCCCUCGUGCUCUGCUGGACGCCUGCUGCAGGGGACACAGUCUGCUAGGCUGCGGACUUGGGCACCACAUAUGGACUCCACGCCAGUAAGACCCAGGGAGUUUUCUGUGCCACCCUGCAACCCCAGGAAGUCACUACCGGGGCCUCCAACAUGAGGAUUGCACCACCCAAACCAAAAAUUCUUUCCUCUUCUGGAACCCCAGCCAGCCUUUCCCUCUCCGGCUGUCUGACCUUCCCCUCAGCCCUUGCCACCUUUGCCCCUGGACCCCUCAGAACACAGUGUCAAGGACCUACAUUCUACAGAGAUUGCCAGAUGCCUGCUUUGCCUACACCCUGCAUUCCCAAUGAGAGGCACCUGGAGCCUACCUCAAUUCCAGAUACCAACUGUGUGACUGAAUAGACUUCCUAGCCUCGGGUGGUUCUUUGGCUGCAGGGGACUUGGCUGAACCCUGUAUCUGCGGGAGCCCUGCAGAUAAGACUCAUGUGCUAGAUUGCUAGAGAUACCUCUGGUGUGCUGGAUGCUUAAUGGGCACUUACCUCUGAAGAAGGACUGGGACUGGUGGAUGGCUCCAUUCAGUUCUGGGAGCACUGGGAUCUCCUAGGCCAUAGGCCACAGCAGCUGGCCUCAGGGCUGGAUUCUCGGGCUGCUCUGGCCUGUUGCUUCUCAGGCUUCGGCUCAGGCUUUGGCUCAGGCUUCGGCUCAGGCCUCGGCUCAGUCUCCAGCCUCGGCUCAGGCCUUGGCACAGGCCUUGGCUCAAGUUUUGGCCUCGGCUCAGGCCUCGGCUCAGGCCUCGGCUCAGGAGGCCUCGGCACAGGCCUUGGCACAGGCCUUGGCUCAAGUUUCGGCCUCCACUCAGGCCUUGGCUCAGGGGGCCUUGGCACAGGCCUUGGCUCAAGUUUCGGCCUCCGCUCAGGGAUUGGCUCAGGCCUCGGCUCAGGCCUUGGCUCAAGUUUUGGCCUCGGCUCAGGCCUCCGCUCAGGCUUUGGCUUAGGCUGGAGAAGAGGUUCAGUCUGAGGAGAUGUAGGAUUCUGGGAUAGGGCCUUGAGAUCAUCCUCAUCAUCCAGCUCCUGCACAGUGAACUGGGUGGUGACCACUCGGCCCCUGAGGAGAAGCAAAAGUCCUUGAUAGGAUCUCAAAAACAAGUCUUCUCCAGCCGAGUCUGGCCCCCUCUUUCCCCCUCUCGUUGCUGGAUGGGGAAGCCUGUGGGUCACCUUGUCAGGGCUGGGCACUCCCACCUCAUACCCCUGUCCCUUCAGCUGCUUACCCCCUCUCCCUUUCUAAGUAGAAGGAAGGAAGCAGUUGGUGAGAAGUCACUGCCAAGUUGGACAACUGCUCAGGCAGAGGCAGGAGACCCUCCUUUGGACAAACUGGCCUUUUCCUGGUUGCGGGUGGGCUUCUGCCUUGGCGUGGACAGGGGGUGUUGAACACAAAAGGCUUUCUUUAAGGGGGUCACAGCUAAAAGUAUGAAAGUCUCCUGUGUGAAGAGUGGUCUUCACAUUCCCACCUUGGAUGGGAGAAAAAAACC